GGAUGUGAGGGUGAUCUGGCUGCGACAUCUGUCACCCCAUUGAUCGACAGGGUUGAUUCGGCUGAUCUGGCUGGCUAGGCAGGUGUCCCCUUCCUCCCUCACCGCUCCAUGUGCGUCCCUCCCGAAGCUGCACGAUCAGUGGAAGAGGACGACCAUCCCAGAUAGAAGGAGUGUACCGUUCUUCGGUCAAGGGUAUACAAUAGCUGCGCUCCCCUGCUAGAACCUCCAAACAAGCUCAAGAGUUCUAGACCAAGUUAAGAGUUGUGGUUAAAUCAUAGAACCAUGGAACCUUGGUU